rnacentral:rRNA from 2 species
CCCGGCGCGCCCCGCGCCCGUCCCGCCGCCCCCGCCCGUGGCGGACGGGUGAGUAACGCGUGGGAAACCUGCCCUUGACAGGGGGACAGCCGAGGGAAACUUCGAUUUAUACCCCAUAACGCAGAGAGACCGCAUGGUCCAUCUGCCAAAGAUUUAUCGGUCAGGGAUGGUCCCGCGUCUGAUUAGCUGGUUGGUGAGGCAGCGGCUCACCAAGGCGACGAUCAGUAGCCGGCCUGAGAGGGUGAACGGCCACAUUGGAACUGAAACACGGUCCAGACUCCUACGGGAGGCAGCAGUGGGGAAUAUUGCACAAUGGGCGCAAGCCUGAUGCAGCAACCCCGCGUGAAGGAGGAAGGCCUUCGGGUCGUAAAUUUCUGUCCAAAGGGAAGAARAAUGACGGUACCUUUGGAGGAAGCCCCGGCUAACUACGUGCCAGCAGCCGCGGUAAUACGA